rnacentral:rRNA from 1 species
CAGUAGCCGCGGGAAUACGUAGGUGGCAAGCGUUGUCCGGAAUUAUUGGGCGUAAAGGGCUCGCAGGCGGUUUCUUAAGUCUGAUGUGAAAGCCCCCGGCUCAACCGGGGAGGGUCAUUGGAAACUGGGAAACUUGAGUGCAGAAGAGGAGAGUGGAAUUCCACGUGUAGCGGAGAAAUGCGUAGAGAUGUGGAGGAACACCAGUGGCGAAGGCGACUCUCUGGUCUGUAACUGACGCUGAGGAGCGAAAGCGUGGGGAGCGAACAGGAUUAGAUACCCCCGUAGUCCCUGUCUCUUAUAC